rnacentral:rRNA from 1 species
UGGGGAAUAUUGGACAAUGGGCGCAAGCCUGAUCCAGCCAUACCGCGUGGGUGAAGAAGGCCUUCGGGUUGUAAAGCCCUUUUGUUGGGAAAGAAAUCCAGCCGGCUAAUACCUGGUUGGGAUGACGGUACCCAGAGAAUAAGCACCGGCUAACUUCGUGCCAGCAGCCGCGGUAAUACGAAGGGUGCAAGCGUUACUCGGAAUUACUGGGCGUAAAGCGUGCGUAGGUGGUUAUUUAAGUCCGUUGUGAAAGCCCUGGGCUCAACCUGGGAACUGCAGUGGAUACUGGAUGACUAGAAUGUGGUAGAGGGUAGCGGAAUUCCUGGUGUAGCAGUGAAAUGCGUAGAGAUCAGGAGGAACAUCCAUGGCGAAGGCAGCUACCUGGACCAACAUUGACACUGAGGCACGAAAGCGUGGGGAGCAAACAGGAUUAGAUACCCUGGUAGUCCACGCCCUAAACGAUGCGAACUGGAUGUUGGGUGCAAUUUGGCACGCAGUAUCGAAGCUAACGCGUUAAGUUCGCCGCCUGGGGAGUACGGUCGCAAGACUG